rnacentral:lncRNA from 1 species
ACCCUAGAGCCCUGGAAACUCUAUGCCACUGUGGGCCUGCUGGUGGGCAUGGAUGUCCUGACUCUUGCCAUCUGGCAGAUUGUGGACCCCUUGCACCGAACCAUUGAGACUUUUGCCAAGGAGGAACCAAAGGAAGACAUCGAUGUCUCCAUUCUGCCCCAGUUGGAGCACUGCAGCUCCAAGAAGAUGAAUACGUGGCUUGGUGUGUGGGACACGGGUAGGAGGAGGGGAGGGAGGAAACAUAAGCAGGAGAGAAGGGUAACAGCAACAGACCAGGGAAGGAACAUUCCGAGGAGACAGCUUCAGUGCCCUAUGACUACACUAAACUUUUCCAAUAGGAGAGCUUUGGUCUUUUGCUGUGAGUAGUGAUGUUCAGCGGAGGGCCACUGUAGGCGGUGACUCACCCAUCUGUGUCUGGCCAGCUCCUGAGAGUAAGUGACCAAGGUUGCGAGGUUGUGGGCUUAGCCUCCCUUCAGCCUGACCAACAUUCAUCCAAUCUACAAAUCCACCCAAUGAACUAAGACUCUUAGCUGUGUGUUGCUGCCUGGAGGGGAUGGGUUGAGAUACUGGGGUAACAUCCAUUGGAUCCUUCCUAGCUGCUCC